AUUGAUUUUAUGCUUGCAUAAAUGAUUUUUGGAUUCGGAGCGAGUGGCGAACUGGUGAGUAACACGUGGGUAACCUGCCCCGAAGCGGGGGAUAACAUUUGGAAACAAGUGCUAAUACCGCAUAAUUAGUUGGAACCGCAUGGUUCCAACUUGAAAGAUGGCUCUGCUAUCACUUUGGGAUGGACCCGCGCCGUAUUAGUUAGUUGGUGAGAUAAAAGCCCACCAAGACGAUGAUACGUAGCCGACCUGAGAGGGUAAUCGGCCACAUUGGGACUGAGACACGGCCCAGACUCCUACGGGAGGCAGCAGUAGGGAAUCUCCCACAAUGGACGAAAGUCUGAUGGAGCAACGCCGCGUGAGUGAUGAAGGUUUUCGGAUCGUAAAACUCUGUUGUUAAAGAAGAACAAGUGUCAGAGUAACUGUUAACACUUUGACGGUAUUUAACCAGAAAGCCACGGCUAACUACGUGCCAGCAGCCGCGGUAAUACGUAGGUGGCAAGCGUUGUCCGGAUUUAUUGGGCGUAAAGCGAGCGCAGGCGGUUUUGUAAGUCUGCUGUGAAAGCCCUCAGCUCAACUGAGGAAGUGCAGUGGAAACUACAAAACUUGAGUACAGAAGAGGAAAGUGGAACUCCAUGUGUAGCGGUGAAAUGCGUAGAUAUAUGGAAGAACACCAGUGGCGAAGGCGGCUUUCUGGUCUGUUACUGACGCUGAGGCUCGAAAGCAUGGGUAGCGAACAGGAUUAGAUACCCUGGUAGUCCAUGCCGUAAACGAUGAAUACUAGGUGUUGGAGGGUUUCCGCCCUUCAGUGCCGCAGCUAACGCAUUAAGUAUCCCGCCUGGGGAGUACGACCGCAAGGUUGAAACUCAAAGGAAUUGACGGGGGCCCGCACAAGUGGUGGAGCAUGUGGUUUAAUUCGAUGCUACGCGAAGAACCUUACCAGCUCUUGACAUCUUCUGCCAACCCAAGAGAUUGGGCGUUCCCUUCGGGGACAGAAUGACAGGUGGUGCAUGGUUGUCGUCAGCUCGUGUCGUGAGAUGUUGGGUUAAGUCCCGCAACGAGCGCAACCCUUAUUAUUAGUUGCCAGCAUUUAGUUGGGCACUCUAGUGAGACUGCCGGUGAUAAA
rnacentral:rRNA from 1 species